rnacentral:ncRNA from 1 species
GAAAGCCUUAUGAUGGGAAACUACCACGUUAGGUUUGGAGAGAGAUGGGACCGCUUAUAUAAUAGAAUAGGGGUGGUUUUGGAUUUCCCUCCUCAAAUUAUGUUUGGUUGUUUGCCAACACAAUCUUAUUUUCAU